UACGUAGGGUGCGAGCGUUGUCCGGAAUUACUGGGUGUAAAGGGAGCGUAGGCGGGUUGACAAGUUGGAUGUCAAAUCUAUCGGCUUAACUGAUAAUCGCAUUCAAAACUGUCGAUCUUGAGUGAAGUAGAGGCAGGCGGAAUUCCUAGUGUAGCGGUGAAAUGCGUAGAUAUUAGGAGGAACACCAGUGGCGAAGGCGGCCUGCUGGGCUUUUACUGACGCUGAGGCUCGAAAGCGUGGGGAGCAAACA
rnacentral:rRNA from 1 species